CCUACGGGAGGCAGCAGUGGGGAAUAUUGGACAAUGGGCGAAAGCCUGAUCCAGCAAUGCCGCGUGAGUGAUGAAGGCCUUAGGGUUGUAAAGCUCUUUUACCAGGGAUGAUAAUGACAGUACCUGGAGAAUAAGCUCCGGCUAACUCCGUGCCAGCAGCCGCGGUAAUACGGAGGGAGCUAGCGUUGUUCGGAAUUACUGGGCGUAAAGCGUACGUAGGCGGUUAUUCAAGUCAGAGGUGAAAGCCUGGAGCUCAACUCCAGAACUGCCUUUGAAACUAGAUAGCUAGAAUCUUGGAGAGGUGAGUGGAAUUCCGAGUGUAGAGGUGAAAUUCGUAGAUAUUCGGAAGAACACCAGUGGCGAAGGCGACUCACUGGACAAGUAUUGACGCUGAGGUACGAAAGCGUGGGGAGCAAACAGGAUUAGAUACCCUGGUAGUCCACGCCGUAAACGAUGAUAACUAGCUGUUCGGGCUCUACGAGCUUGAGUGGCGCAGCUACGACAUAAGUUAUACCGUCCGUCGGGAGGUACGGUCGCGAGAUUAAACUACAAUAGAAGUUAGUACGGACGUGAGACGUCGCCGACGGACGACCGACGAGGGAGGAGG
rnacentral:rRNA from 1 species